AGUCCUGUAAGUAAGAUUGCAAAUUUUGCACGCUAAUAGCAUUAGCCGGGGCUU
rnacentral:tRNA from 1 species